rnacentral:rRNA from 1 species
UACGUAGGGUGCGAGCGUUGUCCGGAAUUAUUGGGCGUAAAGAGCUCGUAGGCGGUGUGUCACGUCGGCCGUGAAAACCUGCAGCUUAACUGUGGGCUUGCGGUCGAUACGGGCAUCACUGGAGUUCGGCAGGAGAGACUGGAAUUCCUGGUGUAGCGGUGAAAUGCGCAGAUAUCAGGAGGAACACCGGUGGCGAAGGCGGGUCUCUGGGCCGUAACUGACGCUGAGGAGCGAAAGCAUGGGGAGCGAACAGG